CAGUCGCCGCGGGAAUACGUAGGGUGCAAGCGUUAAUCGGAAUUACUGGGCGUAAAGCGUGCGCAGGCGGUUAUAUAAGACAGAUGUGAAAUCCCCGGGCUCAACCUGGGAACUGCAUUUGUGACUGUAUAGCUAGAGUACGGCAGAGGGGGAUGGAAUUCCGCGUGUAGCAGUGAAAUGCGUAGAUAUGCGGAGGAACACCGAUGGCGAAGGCAAUCCCCUGGGCCUGUACUGACGCUCAUGCACGAAAGCGUGGGGAUCAAACAGGAUUAGAUACCCGAGUAGUCCCUGUCUCUUAUAC
rnacentral:rRNA from 1 species